rnacentral:lncRNA from 1 species
UUAAGAAACUUCUGUUAGCAUUCUGAUGUUCAAACCCAAGGCUUGAUCUUCCUGUUGAGGGCCAUCCAAGAGCACCAUGAUGAAGUGGAAAGAGAUUGUUCACAAGAAUGAUCACUUACAGAAGACUGAGCCCAAGGCCCUUGCUGAUGGAUUCCCAGACUUAUAUGCAUCCGAGAUUGAAGAACUUAAACAUCUUGCCCUUGCCAUGACCACAAAUCAGAGGGUAAUAAAAUUUAAUGUCCAUGGACUUUGACCUUCAAAAGACCAAAGACAGGCUGUUUCAAGAACGCGGUCUUGAACAAUUUGUUGACAUCUUCACAAAAGAAAAAUAAUUCUCUAAAUCAGUAACUGAGUCUCCG